AGUGCGAACAUUUUUUGCAAUAUUGCCAGAUGAGAAAAGAAAUUAAUAUUUUCGUAAAAUCCUCGAUUACAAUCAUCUUCAAUGGAUGAUUUUUGAAGGCAGAUGCUUUUUUGGAAGAAAGGAUUUAAUUGUGGACGAAAAAUUUUGCUCAGGAUGUUCAUGGAAAAAGUUUAUAUGUGAAGUGCGAACAUGAAGAUGAAGAAAACAAUCAUUUCCAUAAAAUCUUCGCAGUGAUUGUAUAAAUAAUCAUCGAAGACAGACUGUCUUUGCGAAAUAAAGGAAUGAAUUGAAAAUUUUGUCCAGGAAUUUUGUGGUUAAGUUUAGUGAAUUUUUUUGAAGAUCGAAAAAGGGGGCCAAAGAGUGAAAAAAGGAAAAAGGUCAAAAAAGGCAAAAAAGGCCAAAAAGGAAAAAAGAGUCAAUAAAGGCAGAAAGGACAAGAUCCGAAGGUAAGAAAAUUUAUACAACAGAAAUUAUUUCAUAUAUCGAAUAUUUAUUCUCUGCUUAUAGACAAUAUUCAUUAUGUACAACACUUAAUUUUUUUAUUAGUCUUAUAGUAACAAUGACUUUGAUUUUUUAAAACAAAAAUCACCAGGACUAUUGUUUCAUUAUAUUGAUAAUAAAUUACUUACACUAAAAACUGUACAAAAAUUAAAAUUUCAUUAUACAAAAACAAAAUACACACGCAGGCCACGCACAUAUACACAGAAACAUAUAUUUCGUCAAAAAAAAACAUUCUACGAACAAAAAUUUAAAAUUUACAGAUAAAAUUUUUUUUUCUCAAUUUAUUUACAAUUUUUUUACUAUAUCGGCAAAUGUUAUUUCACACUCGUUGGUUACUUAAAAAUCCGAGAUUAUUUUGGCAGUGACUCGAUUAUAUAUAUUUUCUUUUUUUUAUUUACAAAUCUCAGUUUUUUAACGAAACUCUUCGAAAGGAAAAUUUUUUUUUAUUAACCGAAACAGUAUAGGAGGAACUUUUAAAUAAAUAAUCUGAAUUUGUGAACAAAAAAUAAAACUUUGAAAGCAUGUAUAAAAUGAUUUUUGUACUUUAAAUCUAAAUUUUGAUUCUUUGCAAACUUUAUCUAGAUUUUGAAUAUUGUUCGUUUAUUCCCGGUACAUUUCUCAUGUAGUGGGAAUAGAAUUCGGUAAAUUUAAUUUUACAAUGUGAAUGUAAAAUUUGUAUUCUGUAUUUCGAUUUUGUUAUCAAAAAAAUCAUUAUUGGAGCAUUUUCCGUUUCUAAUGAUUUUUGAAAUAAUUAAUAGAAUCAACGAUCUAGAGAAAACGAAUGUUAGAAGUAAAAAAAAAAAAAAAAAACUGGGAAGGAAGUUCCAUUUUUAUAUGGAAUUUUCAUCCACGAAUUUAGCGUCAUUAGUUAAAAAUUUCACUGGAGUUUUGAAAGAAAUGUUUGGGCUCUUUUUUGGUAAUUGAAUUAAACAUUU